GAUUUGCUUGAGUAGGUCCAUGUCUUUCUUGUACUGGGAGUCCUAGAGCUGAAUGCAGCAUGCCAGGUGGAGUGUCACAAGAGCAGAGUAAAGGAGAAGAAUCCCUUCCCUUAACCUGCUGGUUCAUGGGGUCUCUGUGAGAAAUACCAGCGCUGUGGUGUAAGGAAGGUGCAGUGAGGAGAACACCUGGUGGUGUGCAGACCAUUGACCAGCAGGACUUAACCACAUGUAUUGCAAACACUGCGUUCAAGCAUAAACUUCUUCCCUAAUGCUGGGCCAGAGCAGAAGUAAUGGGAGAGCAUGUGCUGUGUUGAGAGAAGUUAAGUGACAAAAGUGGAAGGAGAAAUAAUCUUACAUGACAUGGACUUGAGGCAGGGAAGAUGCAUCCUCAGACUCCAGGAUUACAUUUCUGGGAGUUGCUGUUCAACCAUGUUUGCCAGUCUGGAAUUACCUGAAGACCUGUUGCAUGCCACAAAGUACUGAAGUUGUGGAUUUUUUUUGGUAACAGUACUUAAGAAGCUCUGAGUGUGAGAAUGGAGGUCUCAUCUGGAGGAGUGAGUGCCCUUGUAACGGCUUGUGGUGGAGUGGGAAAAUGUGUAUCUUAACUAAACAUUGCUCACCGUAGAUGCAGGAAUAGCUUUUACCAUGGGUUGUGCUUCUACACACAUAACAUCUUAGAUUACUAUCAGUAUGCCAAGUAAAAUGUAUUGCAAAAUCUACACAUCUUAGAAAGUAAAAAACCAUCAGGUGUGUAUGACUUGAUUUACUGGAUUCAUUCUUGUCCAAGCUCAACAGGGCCAUGAGGGGAGUUAUAGGCUAGCACCGAAGGU